rnacentral:rRNA from 1 species
UACGGAGGGUGCAAGCGUUAUCCGGAUUCACUGGGCUUAAAGGGUGCGUAGGCGGGUAAGUAAGUCCGUGGUGAAAUCUCUGAGCUUAACUCAGAAACUGCCGUGGAUACUAUUUGCCUUGAAUAUUGUGGAGGUGAGCGGAAUAUGUCAUGUAGCGGUGAAAUGCUUAGAUAUGACAUAGAACACCAAUUGCGAAGGCAGCUCACCGCACAAUCAUUGACGCUGAGGCACGAAAGCGUGGGGAGCAAACAGG